rnacentral:rRNA from 1 species
AUGGCCGCCGCCUCGUCCUCCUCCUGCGGCGGCGCCGGCUGCGGGGCCCACUGCUCCUCCUCCACCUCGUCAUCCGUAGAGGAUGCUCCGGAGGGGAUUCUGGACCGUCUCUCCAUAUCCGGUGCCGCUGCCUCCUGCGGCAAGUGCGGCGGCGGCGCCGUCGUCGUGGUUGCCGGAGGCGUCGGUCUGUGCGGCGAGUGCUUGCGCGCCCAGCUGUUCGGGAAGUUCAAGCUCGCCGUCAUAAGCAACGCCAUGGUUCGGCCAACCGACUCCGUCCUCGUCGCCUUCUCCGGCGGCCCCGCCUCCAGGGUGGCUCUGCAAUUCAUACAUGAGAUGCGGUCCAAGGCAAUCGAAAGCUGGGACGCCAGCAAUUCGCAAGCCCUACCGGUCUUCAAUGUUGGGGUGGCCUUUGUCAACGAGAGUGCUUUGUUGUCAAAGACCGAAUGUGAAGUUGAGCAGGCAACUGAAGAUAUAAAGUCAAUUGUGUCGAGUUUGUUACCGGGAGAUAAAGCAAUGCACCUUGCCUCUCUUGAUGAUGUGUUCUCCUCGGAAUCAAAAGAUGGGGAAAGCAGGCUGAGGGAGCUAGUUGGCAUGAUUGCUGAUGAUACUGGGAGGGAGGAUCUUCUUCAGUGCUUGCGCAUGCUUUCGUUGCAGAAGAUUGCACUGGAAAAUGGGUACACCAAGAUCAUGCUGGGAUCAUGUGCUUCUACAAUAGCAUGUCAUGUGCUAUCUGCAACAGUAAAGGGCCAAGGUUAUUCCUUACCAGCUGAUAUCCAAUAUGUUGAUACACGGUGGGAAGUGCCUGUCGUUCUUCCACUUCGUGAUUGCCUGGCCCAAGAGCUUAGACUGCUCUGUGAAUUUGAUAGUUUAAAGACACAGCAACUUCUUGAUAGGCCUUGCAGUGGCAUCAAUGGCUUAGUCGCAUCUUUUGUUGCACGACUAAGGGAGGAGAAUCCUUCUCGUGAGCAUACUAUUGUAAGAACUGCACAAAAACUUAAGCCAUUCCCUUUUAACAAGUUCUCAGCAAAUGGCUAUCAUGAUUUCCUGCCGUCGCGGCUGCGUCCCAAGUUCCAGGAUGUUGACAACGAUGAGUCUGCUUUCUCUGAGCUUCUCUGCCUGAUAUGUCGAAGUCCAUUCAGUGAAUCAGAACUCCAGAAUUUGGAAAGCACAAGGCACAAGUCUCAGAAGAAAAUUGAUCUAUAUACUGCUUAUUGCUGUCAAAGCUGUCAUUUCCAGAUUCUACCUGGUGGUAGAGACCUGUAUGACCAUUUCUUUUCACUACUACCAAGGUUCUGGACUGAGAGAGUAGAUACUGCAUCUGCCAGCCAUAGCUCGCUAAGAGAUCAAAUAGAAGACUAUCUUCUUGAAGACGAUGAUGAUGGGAACUGA